AUUUUGUCUCUCCUUUGUGUAUAAGAUUAGAAGGGGAUUCUUGUUCUUCCUCAAGCUCUUUGAUCAUGGAGAAAAGUAAAUCAUUCCCUUAUUAUUCAUCUUCUUAUGCAGAAGCCCGGGUCGACUUUGAAGAUCGUGCUAAAUCUUUUAGCUUCAAUGGCCCAGAGGAAAUUUCUGAGGUGAAGAGGAGAAAAAGGGUGGCGAGUUAUAAGAUGUAUUCUAUGGAAGGUAAGUUGAAGUCGUUCUUGAGAAAUAAUUUCAAGUGGAUUAAGAGCAAAUUUACAAACAAAUAUAAUGACGUGUGAAGUGUAAAAAGAACAUUUUUUUUUUCUCUUCAACUGUUUUAUCUAGUGCCUGUGCAGUCAUAUAAGAUCAAUUACCACAUAGAAUUUUCAUCAUCGAAUAUUUCUGCCCUUACGAUAUUUGUAAGUGUACGGUUCAUGAAUCAUGAUCAUAUUGUAUCAUUUCAGAUUGUAAUUGUUGAUGCACAUAUAUUUGACCUUUUCUCAGCUUUAAUUUGAAGGACUCUUCUUGAAAAAAUUUCAAGGAAAAUUAUUAAAAAGAGAGAAUUUGAAAUAUUC
rnacentral:lncRNA from 1 species